CUGCUCUCUCUAUCAUUCCCUCUCCCACACGCCUCCUCAAGCGACCCCACCUCGCGCUCCCGAUGCUGCGCCGACACCUCCUCCCCUUCUCUCACGGCCUCCACAAGCAUCCGCAAAUCCUCCCUCUCCCAUAAUCUCCUGUUUUUGCCUCUCAAUCACGAAUCAGGAUCCAUGGAGGUUUCCGACAAGUGCUACUCGAUCUGCUAUACGGCAGCGGCCGGGACCGCCGGCCGUGGGUCUGCGUCUCGCUGCUCAUCCUCCGGGAGGCUACACGCGGAGGGAACUCGCUGUUGGCGAGGUUCCAUGGAGUGCCAAGCGGGUGCUUUUCGCCAGCGGGGACGAGCAUGACCUUCUAUUCCCCGGCUCUUCACCCCCAAGGGCACCGACCCCAGGAAGAUCCCUAGGUCGCCCUACAGCAUGAUGAUGGGGAUCGAAGCGUCGGUGCUCCAAUCCGGUGGAGGGGUGGCGGCGGAGGUGCAGGCCCAAAACACUACCCAGAAGGAGGCGCCCCGGAUGAGCAACACACUCGUGUUCCUCCCGCUCAUGGAGGACGCGCUCUCGGUCGCCGGCGGUUUCGUUCUGUCUAUGGCGAUGGGUUGCCUCUUCUUCUCCAUUCGUGUGGUCAGGUUUGUUCUUCUUCCAUCAUGUUCCUUCUUUUGUCUCGUCACAAGCACAUGCCACGGAGGCUAAACUCUUUUGGCAACCGAUUGAAAAAACAGCUGGAAGAGAGCUUCAUUAGAUCUGUCUACUCCUGUAUUUUCAGUUACCUGUGUGACUGGAAAAGUACACUAUAUGUUACUAUGCUAUAUUUCUUAAGUUAUGUAUAGAACCUCUACCUAUAUACUUGGAUCACCGGAUUGUUCAAUUCUUUUUAUGCAACAAAACUACAGAAUUAGUACUUAUCAUUGCAGUGUCGUGUUCUGUGUAUACCAAUAUCUCUACCACUAUAAUACACCAGUCUUGAAUUUGGAUUCACCACCCCACUUGUUUUUUAGUCCGCUUGGGUACUGAUCACCUGAACUAAUGAACUAAUAGCCAAGAUACAGUGCAGAGAGUAAACUUGCCGGGUGAUACAUGAGAGCAUUUAUAUAAUGGUUGGUUCUAUCAAGUUUUUUACCGAUUUAUACUGAAUUAAACAUGUUGAUAUGGCGAUAGGGUCUCCAGUGUACAUGAUUAUCGAUUAAAUUUGUAUAUAAACUUCUUCCAGUUUGUUCAAUUGUAAGCCUAGUGAUGUAACAAUGAACGCUAAUUGUAUUGUUCUGCUCUUGGUUAGUACAAGAAAUGCUUGAGUUGUCAAUCAGGAAGAACUUCUAUUCUUCAAGCAAGAACUCUAGACUGGGCUUUCAAAUAAGUUGGACUGUAGAUAAUGUCCAGAUUUGUGAUCAUUGAUGCUUGUGCUUUCUUCUUCAUGUUCUGGUGAGGAAGAAGGGAAAACGCUGGAGCCAAUAGAUGUUUAGUGGGACUAUGUUCUCAAUUCACAAAGCUAAAGGAAGCACAUGCCAUCUAUCUCUCAUAUUGGUUAUUUGGAUCCUGAGAAAUCACCAUGCCUAGCUUAAAUUUAUUGACAUUAGCUUGUUCUGAUAAAAAAAUCAAUGCAAGGAAGGAAACAGAAUAUGGGGAUUGCAACUAUAGAAUGGUGAUUAGAUAUUCUUGAUAGAGAGGCAUAGGUUUCUAAUGUCAGUCUUUGAUAGAGUUCACAUAUGGCUGCAGUUUUUGCGACUACGGAAUUGUGAUAGGAUAUUCUUGAGUAUUUAGUUCUUCAGUACUGUUAAUUGAACAUACACUGGAAGUCAAAUUUCCAGGUAAAUCUGAUCAAGACUACUAGAUGAUCCAAAUGGAGGAUUAUUUCACUUUCAGACCCACUUUGUAAUUGUACAUCAUUGUCUUACCACAGAAGUUUAGAUGGACAUAGUAUCCAGGAUACCAACUAUUUGGAACUCCUCUCUACAAAAAAAGGCUUAAGGGGAUUGGUAACUGGAGUUCAGACCAUAAAAUUAUUCCAAUUCCCAUGCCUACAGUAUUGUAUACACAGAUUUCAGAGAGGAAUAGAUGGAUAGAUGAGCAAUGGACCAUUAAAGUUGCUUUCAUUGGUUCUCUUAGGGACCAUUGCAAAAGGUGUUUUUGUUUGGAUAAAGGUCAUCGAGCUAAGGUAAGCUCUCCAUAGACUGGAACAUUAUCAUGUCCUCGUCGGCGAGGAAGCCAGGUGACCUUCUCAUCCAAUGUCUUUCCCUCCUUAUCCCUUUCUCCUAUCGCAGUUCCCUCUCAAUGCGUUAGUUUCUUUCGUCGUCGCUAGGUUCCCAUGGCACUCUGCCACGCUCGCUUCAGUAGCUCGUUGAUUAAGAGGUAUGAGUGGGUGGCCAGCUGCAAUGUCUAGAUGGAAGACCUCUCCUGUUCAGAUUUAUUUUGGGUUCUUGAUUCCUUUUUCCCAAUGGUUAUAUGUAAUUAGUACAACAUUAGGAAAAAAUUAUACCAUGUUUGUGGCUGGAUGCAUUGAGUUGUUGGAAUUGUUGUAUUAGAAGUGCACUCUUGAUUGCCUUACCAAUGGUCCAAAAGAAUUGCACAACCGGUGAAAUUGACCGUGGUUUUAAUGUACUUUUGUUACAAUAUAGUUUUUUUAGGAGCAAAGGACAGUUGGAGAGAUCUCCCACUGACUUGUAACUAUAAAAAGAAGGACGUCAGUGACAUUUACAAUAUACUAGAGUAUAUUUCAUUAUUUCCCAGUUUGGACAUACUUCUAUUGGUUUGCUUCUCAUAAAUAUUAUCAUGCAUGUAUCAGCUGGUGAUUGUGUGAUAGUGGCGUGCUCUCAUAAAUAUUAUGUGUUUCCAGGAAGAUAAAUCCUUUCCGAAUAGGGACUAGGUUGGUUACUUCUUCUGUAAUUAUAUGUUUUAGUGAUAGCUGCUUGAUUAAAUGGUUCCAUCUGUUUCUUAUUCUUGUCAUCUAACGUAGAUAAAUAGAUUAUAUGCUUUUGUGCUGAAUUACGUGGAAGGUCGAGAUGACCGCACAUACGAAUUUAUUUAUGUUUAUUAUCGCAUGGAUGCCUACUGACCCAAAAUAUUUUUGUUUAAAAUGUUUUCCUAUGAAGUUUCUAUACUAUAUAAGAAAGUUGGUCUCAACUAUUUGAGGUCAUAUUCUAUUUUAAAGAUUACUCAUAUAGUUUCAUAGCUGAUUCAGUUGCAUUCGUUGAGAACAGGUGUUUGUAUCAAUCUUGUUUUUCAGGUUACUUGUAUUACAUAUUGAUGGAUUUCUUGCAGGCUUGUACGCCAGAUUUUAUUUCAACUGAAAGUAUUCUUUUCUUUGACAAGAGGGUAUGUAUUCUGGACAAAUUCUGUAAUUAUAUGUUUCCAGUGAUAGCUGUUAGAUUAAAUGAUUGGUCCUAUCCAUGUGUAAUCAUGUAUUAUUUGGGAUGAGACUUGUAUUUUUAGUCAGUAUAAUUUUGUAAUGGAUUGAACAUAUUCCUGUAAUUUUGAACUGUGAAACACAUAGAAGUUAGUUAAUUUUGGUAGUAUUUGUGGCUUGUUGUGCUCACCCCAGAGGCAUCGCAGAAGCUUUCCCAUGUUUUGAACUGAUGUCAUCCUUGCUACGACAAUUCUUGAUCUUGGGCCACACCAGAUUCAUACGUUUUGUGAAUCGGUGGGUCAUAUAAUUGAAGUUGAAUCUGAUAAUACCAAGAGUCUAAGAGGGACGAAUACCUGAAGAGAUUGAUGAGCCUUCCUAAUCAGGUUCCCUUCUAGCAUGCAUUUUUACCUUCUUUAUCAUUUCUCUUAAGGAUAGUCUUUACAAGGUUAUCUUGUGAUUAGUUUGAUUUGAAAAUAAUGGGCUGAAAUAAUUCGACAAGCGGGCCAAAGCAUUGAUAUCCUGAAGAACCACAAUGUUAUCAGAUCUCUUCUUAACAUUUUGCAGGUAAUAAUCGAGCCUGUAUUUGAAUCUUGUGGCCUUAGGCAGUGUUGUUAGUUGUUUAUUGUUGUGAAGUUCUUUACUUCUAUACCUACUAAUAAAAGAAAUAGGUAUUCUUGGUC